rnacentral:lncRNA from 1 species
GCAGAGACUGUGUGGUGGGGCAUGGAGGAAGAGAGAGGGCGCAAAAUCAGGGCCCCCAGCUGUUCCACAUCCUCCAUGGAUGGCGCUCCUUUCUGAAAAAUUGGUGGAAUGUGUGCAUAGCAGCUGAGGUGCAGAGGUGAGGUGUGGGCGGCAGUGGGCUUGGCUUCCUUCCUGCCUGGCUUCUAGAGCUCAGUUGGAGGCUGCGAGGCAGUGUGAUCUGUCUUCACGGAAAACAGAGUAGCAGGAAAUGCUGCCACCAGGAACACAUUAAUCACAUUAGCUUGGCAGACUAUCGUCUGAAGAUGCAGUCAGAUCUGUGAACACAGCAUGUCCAGUCAGCUCUCUUAGACAGUGCUGUUACCCUGGACAACACUGGCUCUUUUCACACUGGGGCUGUGCCCACAGCUUGUGGCUCCUGGAAGGAAAAUUCACAUAAUCACAGGCAUGGCUACACGCAUGUGUGUGUGCACACGUGAGUGAACUCACAUAAUAAAAUCAUCAAUCUUAAUGUAUUUUGAAUAGAUUCGAGUCAAGGUUCUAUAGCUAUUACCUGGUCGUAUUUCUGGGCCAACACAGAUACUGGAGAUGACAUGUCAGGGUCAGGGAUGCUUAGAGAUAUGAUUCUAUAUUGAUUAUGUCUCCUGUGUUUUUUUUUUUGUGAAAGAGGCAACAAUUAUCUAUAUUGAAAUAAUGCAUCUGUCCUUUGUAACUUAUGUAUGUGGUGUGUGUGUGUGUAUUUGUAAAAUGUAUAAAUGUGGGCACCAGGAAGAUUCUUUUGUAUUUCUCUUACAUAGUUGUCUUAUGAAGACAGAGAGGGCAUUUUGCCCAUGCUACAAAUACACUUAUAAGGAGAAAAAAGAGAGGGAGAAAAUAAAGAUGAAAUGAAAUGAAGGAAAAAAA